CUUUACUGUACAUUAAAUGAGUGUUAUGUCAGUAUUUUAUGGUUAUGAUGUACAAUAAUCACUUAUGGGAAGUAUCUUAUUUUUCAGGCUAAUAUAAUAUGUUAUGAUAUAAAUAUGAAUUGUAAAUAGUACUUUUGUCUUGUUUAAUUUACCCCAGAUAGUUGUUCUACAGAACAAUAUCAGACCAAUGCUCUGCAGUAGCCUAACAAAUCCAGAUUUUUCAGUCCAUUUCCUGUUGUGUUGUCAGAUCCCAAUGUAUAUUGAUUAUAGAUUCACUUUUAUUAAAGUUUGAAUGUAAAUAACUCUUUACUAUAGACCUUUUUAUGAUUUUUUAUUCUGUAGAGCACAUGUGAACAGUAUACCUCAUACCAGAAAGGACCCGGAGGCAGUGCAUGGUGUUCAAUAUUCUCAAAAAUGCUCCAGAAAGGGAAAUGGCAGUGUGUUGAAGACAUGGACAAACAAUUUGAAAACUAGCCUCUGUGCUAAGCCUGGCAGUCUGUGGCUGAUGACAUUAUGGACAGACAGAUGAUUAGAGGGAGGAUUGACCAACAGAUAAAUGGCAAACCUAUAGCCCAAUAAAUUAAGAUUUUGGGACCACAACUGACCUGGAGUAUGUUUCUAGUGAAGGGAACCAGAUUUUAAGUAGCUGUUACCUGUAACACGAAUUCCCGACUGCAGGAUAUCUGGUGCCAGACAGUAUACACCAUACGCCCAGUACUCAGCCCGGGAUGUGGCAUUCAGUUCCGGGAACACACAUGUGUAGUCGCUGCCAUCUGGUAGCUGGUAUAUGGUCAGAUACAGCUGAAACACAGGCAUGCCGAAUUAGUUUAUGAUCAUUUACGUGGUGCUGUUAGCUCUUUAAGUGGCGCUUUUAUCCGAACUGUGUCCAGUACAGGUCAUGGUUUUGAUGGCUAUAAAAUUACUCCAUCUUAAGCUAAGACUUAAUUUUACAAGACUGUAAAGGUUCAUCAAUAAAGUUCAAUCUUACCCUGGCGUGGUUUCAAACAUUAAUGGAACCAUAAAAAAGAGCAUUGCAUUAUUUUUUUUCUUUGAGUCCAAUUAAUCUGUUAUCGAUAUUGAUUGCUGUGUUUUAAUACGUGUUGAUAUACACUGAAAAUAUCUUAAAUAAUUCCCUUACA